rnacentral:rRNA from 1 species
GAUGAACGCUAGCGGCAGGCUUAAUACAUGCAAGUCGAGGUGCAGCAUGACUGUAGCAAUACAGUUGAUGGCGACCGGCAAACGGGUGCGGAACACGUACAGAACCUUCCUUCGAGCGGGGAAUAGCCCAGAGAAAUUUGGAUUAAUACCCCAUAGUACAACGUAGCGGCAUCACUUUGUUGUUAAAGAUUUAUCACUUGAAGAGGGCUGUGCGGCUGAUUAGGUAGUUGGCGGGGUAACGGCCCACCAAGCCUGCGAUCAGUAACUGGUGUGAGAGCACGACCAGUCAAACGGGCACUGAGACGCGGGCCCGACUCCUACGGGAGGCAGCAGUAAGGAAUAUUGGUCAAUGGACGAAAGUCUGAACCAGCCAUGCCGCGUGGAGGAUGAAGGUCCUCUGGAUUGUAAACUUCUUUUAUAUGGGACGAAAAAAGGGUUUUCUAACUCGUCUGACGGUACCAUAUGAAUAAGCACCGGCUAACUCCGUGCCAGCAGCCGCAGUAACAC